UACUUGAAGCGAGGUUGCCUUUGUAUAUUCGGCUUGUUGACACAGAAUAUACAAGGGCAAGCUCUCUGUGAGUA
rnacentral:pre_miRNA from 1 species